AACGAACGCUGGCGGCGUGCUUAACACAUGCAAGUCGUACGAGAAAUCCCGGGCAACUGGGAAAGUAAAGUGGCGCACGGGUGAGUAACACGUGGGUAACCUGCCCUUGAAUUGGGGAUAACUCCGCGAAAGCGGGGCUAAUACCGAAUAACAUGUCGAAUCCCAUGGGAAUCGAUAUCAAAGGUGGCCUCUGCUUGCAAGCUACUGUUCAAGGAUGGGCCCGCGCACCAUUAGCUUGUUGGUAGGUAACGGCCUACCAAGGCUGCGAUGGUUAGCUGGUCUGAGAGGAUGGCCAGCCACACUGGAACUGAGACACGGUCCAGACACCUACGGGUGGCUG
rnacentral:rRNA from 1 species